UACGGAGGAUGCGAGCGUUAUCCGGAUUUAUUGGGUUUAAAGGGUGCGUAGGCGGAUCGUUAAGUCAGUAGUCAAAUUGAGGGGCUCAACCCCUUCCCGCCAUUGAAACUGGCGAUCUUGAGUGGAAGAGAAGUAUGCGGAAUGCGUGGUGUAGCGGUGAAAUGCAUAGAUAUCACGCAGAACCCCGAUUGCGAAGGCAGCAUGCCGGCUUCCUACUGACGCUGAAGCACGAAAGCGUGGGGAUCGAACAGG
rnacentral:rRNA from 1 species